UUCGCAAUGCCCGAAAGGGUGACGAAGCGACGCCGCGUGGGUGAGGAAGGCCCUCGGGUUGUAAAGCCCUGUCAGGAGUUAAGAAAUGUAGACUCGCUAAUAUCGGGUCUAUUUGACAAAGGCUCCAAAGGAAGCCACGGCUAACUCUGUGCCAGCAGCCGCGGUAAUACAGAGGUGGCAAGCGCUGUUCGGAAUUAUUGGGCGUAAAGAGCACGUAGGUGGAUUUGUAAGUCAGAUGUGAAAGCCUUCUGUUCAACGGGAGAAUUGCAUCUGAAACUACAGACCUUGAGUAUAGGAGGGGAGAAUGGAACUUCUGGUGGAGCGGUGAAAUGCGUAGAUAUCAGAAGGAACGCCGGCGGCGAAAGCGAUUCUCUGGCCUAUUACUGACACUCAGUGUGCGAAAGCUAGGGGAGCAAACGGGAUUAGAUACCCCGGUAGUCCUAGCCGUAAACGAUGGGCACUAAGUAGAGGGGUUUU
rnacentral:rRNA from 2 species